AAACUGCGUACGGCUCAUUACACCAGCUAUAAUUUACUUGACCUUGACUUCUUACUUGGAUAACUGUGGUAAUUCUAGAGCUAAUACAUGCACCAAAGCUCCAAUCUCCCCAGAGCGGAGCGCAUUUGUUCGCCACAAAACCAAGCGCCCUCCGGGCGUCCAGUGUUGACUCAGAACAACUAAGCUGAUCGCACGGUCUUGUACCGGCGACGUGUCUUUCAAGUGUCUGCCUUAUCAACUUUCGAUGGUAGUGUACCUGACUACCAUGGUGAUGACGGGUAACGGAGGAUAAGGGUUCGACUCCGGAGAAGGGGCCUGAGAAAUGGCCACUACGUCUAAGGAUGGCAGCAGGCGCGCAAAUUACCCACUCUCAACAUGAGGAGGUAGUGACGAGAAAUAACGAGACCGAUCUCAUACGAGGCCGGUCAUCGGAAUGGGUACAAUUUAAACCCUUUAACGAGUAUCUAUGAGAGGGCAAGUCUGGUGCCAGCAGCCGCGGUAAUUCCAGCUCUCAAAAUGCAUAGA
rnacentral:rRNA from 1 species